CGCAGCUACCUCUCAUAUCCCAUUCUACAGGCAUUAAUAACAAUUUAGGGUAAGCGCCGAUGACCGCACAUUACGGGCCGGAGAUGAACUGCGAGCCUGAAGGAAAAGUAUUGACAGGCGGAUAAAUGGCCUUCGGUUUUAUUCCUUCUGUAAGUAAUAGCGUAACUAAUACUUCGGGUAAAAACAAACCAUCCAUCUUCUUUAUUGGAUUAGGAGCGGACUGAAAGUAACACGGCUCUGGGUCCCUUCCAAUACAAGUGACAAGCUGCGGAACCGGAGGAUUGUACAGCACAGUGCACACUGCAGGGUUCCAGCAGGUCCUGGGGAUUAUUGCUGAGUCUGGAGCCUUCCAUGAUUCUCAUCAGCAGUGCAGACGGAAGAAGCCAUCAAACACUUCGCUAUUAAUUGUGCUGGAUGAUUCUAGUAAAUAUCCUGUUGAUGCUGAAGUGCCAGGUUUUUAUUUUGCGACGCAGGACAACGACCCCAGACAUACAGCCAAAGAACUAUCUUCCAAGAAGGCCUGGAAGUGAUGAUAUGGCCCCAAUGAUCCCUGAUCUCAACACCAUCCAGUCUGUCUGGGAUAACAUGGAAAGACAGAAGGUCUUGAGCAAGCCUACAUCCACAGAAGAUCAGUGGUUAGUUGUUCUCCAAGAUGUCUGAAGCAACCUCCCUGCUGCCUUCAAAGACUUUCUGCAAAUAUAUCCAGAAGAGCUGAUGCUGAAGGCAAAGGGCGGUCAGACCAGAUAUUGAAUGAAUUUAGAUUUCUCUUUUCUUCAUUCACUUUGGAUUCAAACUGAUAAACUAUUAACGCUUCUAUUUUAAAACAUUCUUACUUUGUAGCAUUGUUCCCACAUCUGACUAAAGCUUUUGCACAGUACUGUAUUCUAUACCUCCAGUGGUACCUAUUAUACCUCAUCUGGCCAAGCUGUGGCGGAAAGAGUAAUCAGCUCAGUUAAUUUAUCAGUCAUUAUCAUCAUUUCUAGAGAUAUCUGAUUAGCUUCCUU